AUGGGGGAGAGGAGGAAGAGGGGGGAGAAAGAGGAGGAUAGGAGAGAGAGAUGGGGUAGAAAGGGGGGGGGAUGGGGAACAGAGAGAAGGGGAGAGGGAGGGGGAUGAAGAUAAUGGCGGGGAGAGAGAGAAGGGGAGAACUUGUAUGGGGAGAGGGAGGAGAGGAUUGUAUCUCCCUGCCCUUGAAAAGAGAAAGGCUCCCCUGCUUACAAUCGUUCACUUGAGUAGGGAGCGUGAUGUGGUGGGGGAAAGAGGAAUGAUGGGUAUCCCUUGGCACUUAUAAGACUAAGCACCUUAAACUGAACUAAUGCACUUUAUUAUUAAGAGGGGAUUUGAAUAGGGUUUUUGUUGUCAGUGUACGUACGGUGUGUGUGUAUUGAAUCUACACAAGAUGCUGUACGUAUACACGUGAAAAUCUGAACUGGAAGGGUAAGGUGAGGUGUAAGGUUGGUGGGAUAGAUUCACUGGGAGGGGGAACUCAAAGAUAGAGGGGACCUUUUUAUUUUGAAACCUUAUCAGAAAAACAAAUCCUUUCUUGAAAGACAAACACUGUUGUUUUUUUUACAAUACAUUUAUAUGAAAAGUAAAGCUAUUACAAAAAAAAUUCAUAAAAAAAACUUGAAGAUUUGCACUUGUGUUAAAAAAAACGAAGAUAAAAAAAUAGAAAAACAAAUGGGGUUAGAGAUUAAUAUUUCUGUGUAUGCGUGUGCGUGUGCGUGUGUGUGUGUGUGUAUUGUGCAGACUAGUAUGUUUCUAAUGUCUGUUAUGUUUUCUCCAUUGCUUACCAAGAUGUUUGAACACAUACCAGGCCAUUAUGUCAUUUUGUUCAAAUAAGAAUUGAUGUUUUUUCCAUGAGUAGACGUGUCCUCUUGUACAGAGGGGCUUUCUUUGUAUCUACAUGUGUAUGAUUGUGUGUGUGACAGUGGGGGCAAUGGCACAACACAUCCUUUCUCUCACCAGCUCUUCAUCCCCAGAGAAACGUAUUCGAAAUACAGACAUUUGUAGAGGAGGAUUAUGGCUUUGCGCUCCUUCAUAUGCUGUUAAAGCACCACUUGUUUCUGGGGUGUUUUGGGGUACGGCUGAUGGUGCAGUGCCCCUCCCCGCUGUCUUCUCUCAGCCACGGUGUGUGUGUGUGUGUGUGUGUGUGUGUGUGUGUGUGUGUGUGUGUGUGUGUGUGUGUGUGUGUGUGUGUGUGCAUGCAUAUUUGUGCCUAAGAACUCUGAAAGGGUGAAUGGGAUGGAGGAAAUGUUCAAUGGCCAUUGAGACAUUUUACUUGUUAUGGUUAUGUUAAGCGCUCUGUAUAGCCCGUGUAUGUCAAUCAUAUAUCCUAAUAUUUCAGGUUUAGUCUGGGGAUUAUGAUUGAUUGGAGGGUUAGUCCAGUUUAGUUUUCCUGGGAUGUGAUCACGUUGCCUUGUCAGUUCUCUUUAACUUGCGUGUGAAAGGUGUGCGGUUUCAGAUUCUGCUCAAAACAAUUAGCAUCACACUGUCCAUGUACAGGAUGGUGCACAAAAUGUUAGCAUAUUCUUGUGUUACUUAUUCAUUGCUAUUGUUGAUGAUGACGUUUCUUUUUUAGGAAUAUAAAUGAAAAUACACACAUGAAUAAUCAGUUUUAAAAAAAAAAAGUAUUUGGACUGCGAUUAUGAUGAGCACUGCUAUUUUUUUUAUUUUUUUUAUCCCUUAAUUGAGUUUUUGUUGCAUUACAGCCAUGUGAAGUGCGUUUGUUAUUUCUUUCUUAAGAAAACAUUGAAUGUAUUCCCCAAAAAGUCAACAAAAAAAAAUGUGAUAUGGGAUUUUUUUCCUCCACAAAAUGUCUAAAAAUGGAAUCUAAAAAAAAAAACUAAAAAUCUAAGAUUGAAGAGGUCGGCGAGUUCUUUACUCUUUUCUUUUUUUACACAAAAGAGGAAGAACUCGGGCUACAGUUGAACACACUGCCUCUGCAAUCCUGUUCGUACAAAAACAAUAUUACUAUGAAAAAAUAAAGAACAGACUCUUUACUAUUCCUUACUGGAGUUUUGGUUGUUUACAAAACACACGGAUUUCUGUGGGUGCAGUUUUUUUGGGGGUUAGGGUGGAUAGUGGGUAAGGGCAGGGUUUUGCAAGUGCGCUUCUGCAAAAUGGACAUUCAGUGGCCUAUGAUGUUUUGGCGGGAAGGAAGAAGGACAUCACAAUGUGACCCUUUAGUGGAUGUGGCUCUUUUGUAACUGACUGAUCAUCAAGGAGUGCAGGCGAAAAAUCAAAGAUUGUCAUUUUUUUUUUUUUUUACUGCCUGUAUUGUAACUCAAGGACUAAGUGUUUCUGUUCGUGGAGUAGAAAACUUAAUCAAAAAGCAGAAACAGCAGAGGAGUUUUUGGUACUUAGAACAUGCAUAAAGGAAACAACAAUAUCAUUGCUUUAAUAGAGAAGUCUCCUGGAGUAAAAACAUGGAGUACCAUUUUUUUUUUUUUUGCUCCUUGAACAUGUAAACGAAACAAAGAUGGACAAACCCGUGAGGAGUGGUUGAGAAUAAAGGAAAUGUAAGAUUUUGUAAAACCUUACAUACAAAUGACAUUGACCUCAAAUCUACCAUUGCAUUCAAUUGGACCGUGUGCAGGCAGAAUUAUUUUUCCUUUUUUGUUUAAAAGGGGUCUCAGGGUGUGCAGUGGGGGUAUUUUAACCCUGCGAUGAGGGGUAAUGAAAGGAUACUACUAGUAUGAUCUCUGGGGGACACCCAUCAUCCCUCGUCAACACUCACUGUUGACGAGGGCUGCCCCGACCACUCUCACUAUGCACUUUGGUUCAUUCAAACUGUGAGAUGCCAUCACAUUUGGGAUAGGAGCACAGAAAUAUUUUAGUACAAAGGGAGGGUUUAACAAGAAAUGUAACUUUGACUGAGUUAAUACCGUCUCACUGAAAACAAGAUUUUCAAAACAAAAGACAGGAACACGCCUUCUUCCUCCUGUACAUAACCAUAUUUUUGUAUUAGGCCUAACUUUAAACAAGAUCACUUGGACAAAACUGCAAGGCUUGAUAUACAAACUAUCAGAAUAAGGAAAUUCACGAGACAUUGAUUUACAGAGUGAAUAACCCUGUGGUAAAUGAAUUACCUGGAAAUUCCCCAAACUUUGCCAGUAGCCCUGUAUGUCUUCAGGGAUAGGGAAAGAAAAGACUUAACAUGGAUGGAGCUGGGGACUGCAGGGACUCCCAAGACUGAAUGAUGAUCGCUGCUGCAGAGCCCAGCCCAGAGUGUUUGACCAACUGGCACCAGCCAAUGGAGAAGGCAGGGGAGAGACAGUCAGGCGGAUGUAUCAGUGGACCUGCUGCCCAGAUGCCCCCUCCCCAACCUUCUGUCACCUAGCCACUGCCUGGAGAUUGAUCACGAGCUGACAGCAAGAAGACAACCAUCAUAUGGGGUCCUCACUGUUCCUAACUGCCCUCUGCUGGAGAGGAGAUGGAGAAGCUCCUCAGCCCUUUCUUCUGCCACUCCUCCACUGCACCCCUGGUGGUGAAAGAGCAGGAACCACAUCAGGUGCAGUAGCAGAGGACCUGGAACAGUGGAAAAACUGACCACACACACACAGAGCUUUACACGCAUGUCCAUGCAGCAUUCUCAAAUACUCUCUUUUCAAGAACCACAUUCUUGAAAACCACAUUCAAACACACACAAAAGCAGAAAGGCUCAAUACCAUACACUUGAGUUUUGACUGCUAUGUAAAUAAUAUAAAAGUAUUUUCUUUUUUCUGUUCAACAUGCCUUAACUGUGGCGAUCCGCCUUUGUGUGGCAAACUCGAAAACAUAUAUUAACAAUAAGAGUGAAAGCCAGUUGGAGAACCUGAUAAGGACUAUAGCAUUUGAAUAAGGGGGGGUGGUGUCAAUGUUCUACUUACCGGGACAGCGUUUUAUUGGCCAACAAUACUGCUGUAUGUUACUUUAUUUCUGUCCAGCAUCUAUGGCAACAAAGUAGAACUGAAGGCAAUCCCUGAGGACGAUGAUUAAGACUGAUGGUUUGCCUUUUUUCAAAGCAAGAUUAACUGUUCUGUUAUCCAGUUUUAAAUGCCCAAACAUGUAGCUGAAGAUGCAGGCUGAGGAAUCUGAAGCCUGUGUAUUAUGGAGCUGAGCUGACCAGGAAGGGUGUGUUAAAUAGAUCCAUAUGUUCCUUUACAGUUCUACACAGUGCCCCACUACAUAUUACUGUGUACCCCAUCACUGCAGUCAUUUUUUUUGACCCAAUGAUUUUUGACAGUUUGAGACUUGAUUUGAAAGAAGUGUUUUUAUCCUAUUGAGGACCACCCAUUUAAAAUUAAGGAUAUACAGUGACCUCUGUAGUUAUUGGGGUGUUGAAGCAUUUCUUUCUUAUUUUGGCUCUGCACUCCACCAGUUUGAUUUUAAAUCAAACAAUUAUGAGCUUAAAGCAUAGGUUCUCUGCUUUUAUUUGAGGGUAUUGAAAUGGUUCCACCAUUUAGAAACGACAACACUCUUUAUGCAUAGUCACCCCUAUUUCAAGGGACCAAAUGUAUUGGGACAAAUUCACCUAUGUGUAUUAAUGUAGUGAAAAGUGAAACAUUUGGUCCCAUAUUCAUAGCACGUGAUGGUUACAUCAGCAAUGUGACUACAAACUUGUUGGAUGCAUUUGCUUUUUGUUUUGGUUGUUUCGGAUUAAUUUGUGCCCAAUAGAAAUGAAUGGUAAAUGUGUUGUCAUUUGGAAUCACUUUUAUUGUAAAUAGGAAUAUAAGAAUUAUUUUUCUAAACACUUCUACAUUAAUGUGGAUGCUACCAUUAUUACAGAUAAUCCUGAAUGAGUCAUGAAUAAUGAUGAUGGAGAUCAUACCCGCUAGACAUGCACACCAAUACAAUAACAGGAGGUUAGCAUUUUUGGGAGGUAUGAUAUUUGUGCGUUUUUAACUCUCCUCAUUAUUCACAAUUCAUUCAGAAUUAUCGGUAUUCAUGGAAGCAUCCACAUUCAUGAAGUGUUUGUAAACAUUCUUAUUAACAAUGAAAAGUGAUUCUAAAAUGACCCAACACAUUUACCAUGAAUUUCUUUUGGGCACAAAGUAAUUUGAAACACAACCAAAACAAACAGCAAAUGCAUCCAACUAAUUUGUUUAGUCACAAGCUUGAUGUAGCCAUUGUGUGCUAUGAAUAUGGGACCAAAUAUUUCACUUUUUACUAUAAUACACACGUAAGUGAAUUUUUCCCAAUACUUUUGGGACGAUGUAUAAAAAGUGUUGUCAUUUGUAAAUGGUGAAACCAAUAUGUACACAAAUGCCCUCAAAUAAAAUCAGAGAAUGUAUAGUUUAACCUUGUAGUAAUUGUUCGAUUUCAAAUCCAAACUUUUGGAGUAUAGAGCCAUAAGAACAAAAAAUGCUUCACUGUUCCAAUAAUGAGAGGGCACUGUAUCUCUUCUUGGUGGUCCUCUGAGUAGAUUAUCUUUGUGGAUUGUCUAUUUGACACUUUGAUUACUGACCAUUGUACAGAUGAUGUCCUCAUAUAUAUUAGAAGCAUCUUACUAACGUUAUUGAAUGGCUGUGUAUGUUACUUGUAUGCAUGCCAUCUAUGCAGUUGAUCAUGGGUUUGUCUGUCUCUUUUUAAUAGAAACAGGUUUUCAAUGGAGAAGCUCAAUUCUUCCCCUGUCAGUCAGGUUGAAUUGAUUAAUUGUUUUGUAAGUGUUUUCCAAAUGCUUCGGUUGGUCAAACAAAUGAAUAUUAACUUUGGGAGAUGAGACCCUCUACUUUGAGUGGAAAAUGUGUUUCAUUUUUUUAAAGUUAGCAUUGUCUUUGUUGGAGUAAUUGUUGGUCACCUGUUCUGUCUUUCUGUUAAUCAUUGAAGUUCAAAGUGAUUGAUGUUUUGGCACUGUGAUGCCCCUGGGUGAGAUUGCCAUGCCUUUGAUGUAUGAAUUCCAUAAAAAUGUAUGAUUCAUUAACAAACCGAUUUUGAUCAAAUUAUAUCCAUUUUCUUUUUCACCCAAAUGGUCGGCUCAGUUCCAUCGCUUAAACGUUUUCAAUAUUUUAGAGAUAAGUAACAUAAAAACAAAUGCGUUCAGAACAAUAACCUAAAAAGUGUAAAUAGUUUGGGUUUUGUUGGUUUGACUAGAACAAAAAAUUAUUAAAUAAAUUGCAUUUAACAAUG